AGGGCCUAUAAGGGAAUCUUCCGCCAUGGGCGAAAGCCUGAUGGAGCAACGCCGCGUGAGUGAUGAAGGUUUUCGGAUCGUAAAACUCUGUUGUUAGGGAAGAACAGUGCUCCUUGACUGGCUGUCCCCUUGCCGUACCCUAUUCAAAAGCCCCCGGUUAAUUCCUGCCCACCGCCCCGGUAAUACCUAGGGUGCAAGCGUUUAUCGGAAUUAUUGGGCGUAAAGCGCGCGCAGGCGGUUCUUUAAGUCUGAUGUGAAAUCCCACGGCUCAACCCUGGAAGGGCAUUUGAAACUGGGGGACUUGAGUGGCAAAAAAGAAAGUGGAAUUCCCAGUGUAGCGGUGAAAUGCGUAAAAAUUUGGAGGAACACCCAUGGCGAAGGCCACCUUCUGGGCUGUUACUGACCCUUAAGCCCCAAAGCGUGGGGAGCAAACAGGAUUAAAUACCCCUGUAGU
rnacentral:rRNA from 1 species